rnacentral:rRNA from 1 species
GACGAACCGUGCAAACGUUGUUCGGAUUCACUGGGCUUAAAGGGCGCGUAGGCGGCUUGUUAAGUCGGUGGUGAAAUACUUCGGCUCAACCGGAGAAUUGCCGCUGAAACUGGCAGGCUUGAGUGAGGUAGAGGUGCGUGGAACUUCCGGUGGAGCGGUGAAAUGCGUUGAUAUCGGAAGGAACGCCGGUGGCGAAAGCGAUGCACUGGACCUCAACUGACGCUGAGGCGCGAAAGCUAGGGUAGCGAACGGG